AGGGUCUGAGUUCAAUCCCUGGUUCCACCAAAAAAAAAAAAGAAUGGCUUCUCUGUUUAAAACACACCCAACAGGAAUUUAGGGUCACUGUGACAAGGGGCACAAACCUUGUGACUUCCCUGUGAGCAAAGGUCCCACACAU
rnacentral:snoRNA from 1 species